rnacentral:lncRNA from 1 species
GUCCACUCUCCUCAAGGCUAGCAUCAGAACCAGUAGAGAGGAGGUCCACUCUCCUCAAGGCUAGCAUCAGAACCAGUAGAGAGGAGGUCCACUCUCCUCAAGGCUAGCAUCAGAACCAGUAGAGAGUAGGUCCACUCUCCUCAAGGCUAGCAUCAGAACCAGUAGAGAGUAGGACCACUCUCCUCAAGGCUAGCAUCAGAACCAGUAGAGAGGAGGUCCACUCUCCUCAAGGCUAGCAUCAGAACCAGUAGAGAGUAGGACCACUCUCCUCAAGGCUAGCAUCAGAACCAGUAGAGAGGAGGUCCACUCUCCUCAAGGCUAGCAUCAGAACCAGUAGAGAAUAGGACCACUCUCCUCAAGGCUAGCAUAAGAACCAGUAGAGAGUAGGUCCACUCUCCUCAAGACUAACAUCAGAACCAGUAGAGAGUAGGACCACUCUCCUCAAGGCUAACAUAAGAACCAGUAGAGAGUAGGUCCACUCUCCUCAAGACUAACAUCAGAACCAGUAGAGAGGAGGUCCACUCUCCUCAAGGCUAACAUCAGAACCAGUAGAGAGUAGGACCACUAUCCUCAAGGCUAGCAUCAGAACCAGUAGAGAGUAGGUCCACUCUCCUCAAGGCUAGCAUCAGAACCAGUAGAGAGUAGGACCACUCUCCUCAAGGCUAACAUCAGAACCAG